UACGUGAGGCAGCGAGCGUUGUUCGGAGUACUGGGCGUAAAGCGUGCGUAGGCGGUGGACCAAGUCUGGUGUGAAAUCUCCCGGCUCAACCGGGAGGGUGCGCCGGAAACUGGUUCGCUGGAGUGCGGGAGAGGCAAGCGGAAUUCCAGGUGAGCGGUGAAAUGCGUAGAUAUCAGGAGGAACACCAAUUGCGAAGGCAGCUCGCUGGGACGUUACUGACGCUGAGACGCGAAAGCGUGGGGAGCAAACAGG
rnacentral:rRNA from 1 species